rnacentral:lncRNA from 1 species
CUUUGGGAGGCUGAGGUGGGUGGAUCACCUGAGGUCGAGAGUUCGAGACCAGCCUGGUCAACAUGGUGAAACCCUGUCUCUACUAAAAAUACAAAAUUAUCCGGGCGUGGUGAUGCAUGCCUGUAAUCCUAUCUACUUGGGAGACUGAGGCAGGAGAAUCACUUGAACCCGGGAGGCGGAGUUCACGUGCCUGCUUGGUUUCCUAGAAUAUCUUCUCCAUAAGACAUGAGAUUCAAGCCUGGGAUAUUGUAGUGAAGAAGAGAGAAAGAGAAUGGCAACACCUGAGUUCCAGGAGUCAGCCUGCUAGUAGUAACAGCUAAGUCUUGGUGUUGCUAUGGGGUGGUCUGGCUCUUCAACUAGGCUUUGAUAUUCUUCUAUUGGACAUAAACAAUCUCAGAAAACGUUAAUAUCAGACAAGGCUAUUCUGUCACCAUGAUAGACCAAGACUAAGGCAAGACCACUUCAUAAUAAUUCCUGUACAAAGGCAAAAUAUGAACAUUGUCCACAUCAAAUAAGUGACUAAACAUUUCUUUAAACCAGUUAAUACGAGUGAAUGCUAUUUCCUUAUGAAACAGUGUUAGACUUGCUCUCAUCUAUCUCCCUUCUAGAUUAAACUCAGUCAUAGAAUUGUCUAAACUUUAUGAUAGCAUCCAAUCCAGAGUAAGCCCACUUCUUUCAAUCCUCCCGAAAAUCACUAAAGCAAAGUUCAGAUAGAGUAAGUCAUUUCUAAAACCCAUUUACAGAGAUGCUCCACAAUUCCCCAUGAUGUGCAUUGUCCUUUGCUACGAUGGGAAAUUAACUCAACUUGUUCAAAUACAGGUGUGUUCUUUUUUCUCCUUAGUAGAGGGCAUUGAAUACAAGAGAGAGAGAAGAGAACACAAAGCAGUUUCAGAAAAACACCCAAAAUAAAUCACAAGAAGUAUACCCAAAAUACUUGAAACUUUUCUUGUGUUCCACCAAAAUCUCUAAAUCCCAGAGUAUAUCCUUGAAUUUCAAUUCCAUCAUGUUAGAAUUUAUUUUCAAAGAUGGAGGAUAGAGUAAAUGGUCAAUGCUUCUCUGGUGCAGAGAGGGGUCUUCUUAAAUAUACCCCUAACUUUAUGUCCCAUUGAAAAAAGUAAUAAAAGUAAAUUAAUUAAGAGAAUAUUGACCUCUGAAAAAAUUGCUUGCUCCUUCUUACAGAUAUUUAUGUCAGAGCACAGGGAAUAGUAUUUUAUCACCUUCCUGACUUUUUAUUCCCAUUGCAUAAAUCUGUCAGUGAGCAAGCUCUAUCCCCAGCUGGGCUGGUCUAGCUACAAAAUAAGACAGGCAGAUACCAAUGCAAAACUGUGGUUUAUUUUUGAAAAACUUUUACCUCUGCUUUCAUUUUGGCUUUUAAUAAGUUUGACAAUUCUCAGCAUUUUUUUUUUUUGCUUUUUUGUCCAAAUUUCCUGCCUGAUGGGGAAGUCUGAGGAUGAUUAAUGUUCAAGAAAGUUGUGAGGAAAUGUGCCACCCAAGUUUAAUGCAUUAUUAUUUUACUAAAUCACAAUUUUCUUGGUGUCCAUAUCAGUAGCCUAACCUUAUGCAGUAAUAACUGAUUCAGACUUCAUUUAUAAAACGGAAGGGAAAAAUGCAAGAAUAAAAAGGAAGAGAAUUCACAGCAGAGCAAAGAGAAAUUACUGCCAUAUGAACUCUAACACUGUAGCAUUCUUUCACGGUCUGGUACUUUUUAAUCUUGAGUCAUAGAUGGAAAAAUAAAGGAAAAAAAUUGAGGCACAACCAUUCUACAGUAGGCAAGGCAAUUGAGAUUGCUUGGAUUCAUUACUCUGAACUCCAGCAAACAGCUACAGAAUGCCUAGAAUUCCCCAGACAUGACUAUUACAGCUCUCUGUGGUGGCUCAACAGACUUCGUUUUCAGAUAGGUUAUUUGGAGCACCAAUUUUCUUUCUAAAAAUCUUUGUUUUGGCCUUGAUUUGGAAAUAACCUAUGACCGUAGUAUUUAUUUUUCUGCUUAAGAAUUCAUAGAGAAUUUUGGUUUGGGCAGCAUGACAACUUUUACUUAAUAAAAAUAUGAGAAAAAUAUAUAGUUAUAUAGGCUGAUUCCUUUUCACAAUAACUCUACUGAGCUCAUAUAAUUCAAUCUAGUUUAUUUGUUUUUGUUUUCAUUUUUCUUUAUGUCUCUGACUGAGGCCCAGUGGGCACACUCAAUUUGGAAGGGUUUUAGAAAACAUGGCUGAAAAAUGAUGAAUUACGUAUGUAUUAAAUUGAUGUUCACAAUUUCCUGUAAGUAUAAUCUCUUUUCAUGAAAGUGAUGACUCUUUCAUAAUAGCUGAACUUUAUAAACACACGCACACACAAACUAAAUUAAAUUAAAUUAAAUAUGUCCAGGUAAUAUUUCUAAAUAUAUAUAGAAAGUUAAUCUAAAUUCUAAAUACCUUGUUGAUGUAUGCAGUAUUUUAAAGUCAUUUGGGGGAUAACAAUUCUGGCAUUGUCCUAUAGCAACAAUAAAGAGAGGCAGUUUAAAAACAGCAAUGUAAAGAAGGAUUUCAAGCCAACAUUAAUGGUGUGAUUUAGUCAAGCCCUUUUUAUUGUGGAAUUUUAUAAACCAUUCAAAAUUAUACUUAUAGCUAACAUUUCAAUAUAUUAAAAAUGCUCACAAUAAAAAUUAAUUUCUAAAAAGGCAAAUGAAUGGAGGAUGCAUAUGCAAUAUGUCCUUAACUAUAAAUAUGUUGAAAGAUGAGAGAUCAUGUGGCUGAUAGGCCAGUUGAUACAUAAUAAAAAGAAUAAAUAUAAAGAGACAAAGAGAGAAAAAAAGGAAUAAGAAAGGAAGAACAUAAAGGAAGAAGGAAGAGAGGGAGAGAGGAAGAAAGCAAUAGACGGAGGAAAGGAAAAGGUAGGAGGAAAAAAGACAAAGCUAGCAGGAAACCAAUAUAUAUAUAAUAAAUAUUAAUGUUAAGAAUAUAUUAAUUAAUGGAAGUGUUAAUGAUCUGUGAGUGGUCUGCCCAGAUGUGAUUCUUACUAUACUAUUACAUAGCCCAAAUUUUCUUAAUUGGACAUACAUUUUCUGUAGCCAGAAAAUUAAAAUAUUAAUUUCAGAAAAAAAUUGUUAUUUCUAUCCUCUAAAUGCAUGCCCCAAUGAAUAAUAGUCAAAUAUUAAAAUUACACACACAAAAGUUGUGAAAUAGAAGACUAUAUAUAUUUUUUCAUUAACAUAAACAGAAAAAUUCCUACUAGCUCUUCACAUCAGGAUUUGUAUGACCCAUUAACGUGUUCAAAUGCAACAUUGCUCAUUAAAGGAAGAGUUCUUACAACUCAAUUCAAGGUAAUUAUUAUUUUUAUUUUCUUUGUACUAAUGUCAUUUUGAAUAAAAUAUAUUCAUCAUUAAAACUUUUAUGAGCUCCUACAAGUGCAAAAGAAAAGAAUUUUGAUUGAUGUUUCUGACUGUUGAAUGUUAACCUCUAUCCUAAAGAUUGCUCACACAUAAUGGAAAAGUUAAUUCCCACUACAGUGGUAAUAUUCAUUGUACAGAUGAGGGGACAAACAUUAUGGUAUACACUAACUUCUAGCCUGACAUGGUAUUUCCAUUAAUCUGAAUCUAUCAUUAGUCUUUACUUUGGAACCUAAGCAAAACUGCAUCAACACUUACAGGUGGAUCAUAAAGACAAUUGUGAAAAUCAGUACCUGGAUUUUCAAAAAUGUUUAAUUGAUACUUUCAAUAUUCUUUUUUGAGAUAUUUUUCCUCUUCCAGGCAAUAAGGCCCCAGCAACUGACCUCACAGGAAUAGUCCCUUGCUUCCUAGCUUGGCAGCACCCCACACUGUUGGUCUUGCAACAGCCAUUCUAAGUCUUUUGGAGAAUUUAAUCAAUUUACAUUUAAAGCAAUUUUUGAAAGGUAAGAACUCACUAUUGCAAUUUUGUUAAUUAUUUUCUAUUUUGCAAUUUCUCUCUUCCUUUCUUCCUUUUUUUACUAUCUUCCUUUGUGUUUUGAUAAUUUCUGGUAAUGUUAUGCUUUGAUUUAUUUCUCUCUGUAUCUUUUGUGUAUCCACUACAGGUUUUGUCUUUGUGAUUACUGGGAGGCUUAUGUAAAAUAUUUUGUAGUUAUAGCAGUCUACUUUAAAUGAAUAAAAAAUUAGCCUUGAUAGCAAAGAAAUAUUAUACUUUUAUUCCCUCCUUACAUGUUAUUAUUAAUGUAACAAAUUACAUAUUUUUACAUUGUGUAACUAUUUACAAAUUAUUGUACUGUAGGUAUUUGUAAUACUUUUGUCUUUUAACUUUUGUAUUAAAGUGAAAGUUAUUUAUUCACCACCAUUUCAGUAUUAGAACAUUCUGGACUCUAAUCUUUAUAGGAUUAGACUAUAUAAUUACCUUUACCUGUGAAUUUUAUACCUUCAUACUUUUUCAUGUUUCUAACUAGUGUCCUAUCAUUUCUUUUUUAUUUCCAUUUUUAUUUUUUAUUAUUAUACUUUAAGUUCUAGGGUACAUGUGCACAACGUGCAUGUGUCCUAUCAUUUCUUUUUUUUUUUUUUUUUUCUAGACGUAGUCUCGCUCUGUCCCCCAGGCUGGAGCGCAGUGGCACGAUCUCGGCUCACUACAAGCUCCGCCUCCCGGGUUCCCGCCAAUCUCCUGCCUCAGCCUGCCGAGUAGAGUAGCUGGGACUACAGGCGCCCGCCACGACGUCCGGCUAAUUUUUUGUAUUUUUAGUAGAGACGAGGUUUCACCGUGUUAGCCAGGAUGGUCUCCAUCUCCUGACCUCGUGAUCCACCGGCCUCGGCCUCCCAAAGUGCUGGGAUUACAGACGUGAGCCACUGCGCCCGGCUGUGUCCUAUCAUUUCAACUUGGUAAAGACUUCGCCUGGCUGAUGGAGAUCACAGUUAAGUGGGAAUGAAAACAGGUUCUGUGUCCAUGCCAAGUCUACAGUUGGGUUAAUAGUUGGCAAGUCUGCUACCAGGGCCACAUAUGGUUGUGGCUUCCACCAGGCCUAUGAGCAGUACUGCCUCCAGACCAAGGGAAAGCUGGACUGGAGUUGGGUCAUGGAACUGCUUUAAAGACCAUAGUUGGGUCCAAGGUCUGCAGGUCCUAUUACUAGGAGCACACACAGGUGUGGCUCCCAAGUCCUUUGGUGGAAGUGGCUGAAGGCAGCAGUGUGUGGACUUACUUCUCAAAGAGGCACUCCUUGGCCUUGGAUCUAACAAUUGUUUUAUAACCAGCUAUUUGGAUCCCAAGACUCUCACAAAGUCAAAUUUGUCUGUUUAUGCCACCAAAUAUUUGUUUCUCUGGGACGACACAGGCUUGGGACCCCCUCUUCUGCCAUCCUGCUGAUGGCAUUCUCAUUACUUUUUUAAAAAAUUUGUAUUCUACUGAACUUAUGUUUACUUUUUGUAACCCGCAUUAAAAAAAUUUAUUGCAUUCCUUACCCUAUUGCAUUAUUUUCUAUGUAUAUUUGUAAGAGAUCAUUUGAUUUCCUGACCCAUCUUCUGUGAAAAGAACUAUAUUUAAAUAUAUAAUAAUCCAUAAACUUUGCACAAUUUUUAAUUACUUGAAAAUUAAUCAACUUUCCUUCAUAAGUUGAUAAUAUGGUUAUGAAUUGUCUGAGUGCUAUUGUACAGGAGAUGUGGCAGAUUUCAAUACUGUUGAAAUAUUCACUGCCCCUUCUCAGCCAAUUAUAAUUUCCUGCUCCAAGAUCUCAAACUUUGCCAUGCAACUUGUUUUAUUCUAUAAAAUGUGAAUAAAAGUAACUUGUUCCACUUUCUGGGUAU